GUCUUUGGAUGUGGCGGAGAAAGAGAUCGGGGGAAGAGGCCGCUGAUGACAAAAAUUGCAGCUGAUAAAAGUGAUGUGGUUAUUCUGACAUCAGACAAUCCAAGGAACGAAGAUCCAUCGACAAUCUUGGAUGACAUGCUAGCUGGUGUUGGAUACACAAUGCAAGAGUCCUCAUCACCCGGCGGAAGCAAAAUCUAUCCAAAGCUUCCAAAUGGCUGUACACUCUUAGUAAAUGAGGACAGAAGAGUAGCCCUGCAAGCUGCCAUUGCCAUGGGAAA